UACCUAAACCCAUAGUUUUCUAAGGGCAUGGCAUCAAAUCGUUCAGCAUAUUGACCCCGUCAUGGGCGUGCUGAACGUUGCAAGUCGAAAGGCUUGUAUGCCGAAAGGCA
rnacentral:sRNA from 1 species